AAUAGAUACCCGGGUAGUCCACGCCGUAAACGAUGAGUGCUAAGUGUUAGAGGGUUUCCGCCCUUUAGUGCUGCAGCUAACGCAUUAAGCACUCCGCCUGGGGAGUACGGUCGCAAGACUGAAACUCAAAGGAAUUGACGGGGGCCCGCACAAGCGGUGGAGCAUGUGGUUUAAUUCGAAGCAACGCGAAGAACCUUACCAGGUCUUGACAUCCCACUGACCGGUAUAGAGAUAUACCUUUCCCUUCGGGGACAGUGGUGACAGGUGGUGCAUGGUUGUCGUCAGCUCGUGUCGUGAGAUGUUGGGUUAAGUCCCGCAACGGGCGCAACCCUUGAUCUUAGUUGCCAGCAUUUAGUUGGGCACUCUAAGGUGACUGCCGGUGACAAACCGGAGGAAGGUGGGGAUGACGUCAAAUCAUCAUGCCCCUUAUGACCUGGGCUACACACGUGCUACAAUGGAUGGUACAAAGGGCUGCAAGACUGCGAAGUCAAGCCAAUCCCAUAAAACCAUUCUCAGUUCGGAUUGCAGG
rnacentral:rRNA from 1 species